AGAUAGUGGGAAACAGUACUGAAAAUGACCAAAUUAUCAUGUGUAGAAAACAAGGCAUAAAAAAUACACGAGUCGUCCCAGGAUUUUAAAAUUUAUUGUACACACUCAUAUAUGAGUAAACCUCAUGAAAAUAGUCAACUUUCCUGAUUCUACCAUAGUAUGGUGUUUCUUAAGGUAGCACUAUACAGUUUUGAGCCUUAGUGUCGAAUUGGCAGGGGAGAAAUUUCUAAUAAAUAGGGAUACAAUAAAACUGAGCAGCAAUAAUAGUGUUUUACAAGUUUAAAGUAUCAGAUUUGAGUGGUGGUGGUUUGAAAUGCAUGCUUAGUGAAUUCGAAAAUGUGUCCAGUGCCUAGCCAGUGUGUCUGCUGGGCAGUCAAGGUCAUGAAAUACGUACAUGCUGGUUUCUAGCUCCGAAGGCUAAUUUUGCAUGAAUUUUAAAGGUGCCUCCACUCAACUGAAUUUCUGCAAAAAAACCGCGUGGAUGACCCUAGGAUUCUUCGGUGUCGGUCAAAUAUCUGGUGUAGACGUUGUGUUAGCUGUGAGGACGGACAGUGCCCCCACCCCGGCAGCCAGUAGCCGAUUUGUGAAAAACUGUAGUGUGCCCCCUUAAGGUGUAGACGUUGUGUUAGCUGUGAGGACGGACAGUGCCCCCACCCCGGCAGCCAGUAGCCGAUUUGUGAAAAACUGUAGUGUGCCCCCUUAAGGUGUAGACGUUGUGUUAGCUGUGAGGACGGACAGUGCCCCCACCCCGGCAGCCAGUAGCCGAUUUGUGAAAAACUGUAGUGUGCCCCCUUAAGGUGUAGACGUUGUGUUAGCUGUGAGGACGGACAGUGCCCCCACCCCGGCAGCCAGUAGCCGAUUUGUGAAAAACUGUAGUGUGCCCCCUUAAGGU